rnacentral:rRNA from 1 species
AUUGAACGCUGGCGGCAUGCUUUACACAUGCAAGUCGAACGGUAACAGGCCGCAAGGUGCUGACGAGUGGCGAACGGGUGAGUAAUGCAUCGGAACGUGCCCAGUCGUGGGGGAUAACGCAGCGAAAGCUGCGCUAAUACCGCAUACGAUCUAUGGAUGAAAGCGGGGGACCGUAAGGCCUUGCGCGAUUGGAGCGGCCGAUGUAGGAUUAGGUAGUUGGUGGGGUAAAGGCUCAACAAGCCAACGAUCUGUAGCUGGUCUGAGAGGACGACCAGCCACACUGGGACUGAGACACGGCCCAGACUCCUACGGGAGGCAGCAGUGGGGAAUUUUGGACAAUGGGCGCAAGCCUGAUCCAGCAAUGCCGCGUGCAGGAAGAAGGCCUUCGGGUUGUAAACUGCUUUUGUACGGAACGAAACGGUCCUGGUUAAUACCUGGGGCUAAUGACGGUACCGUAAGAAUAAGCACCGGCUAACUACGUGCCAGCCGCCGCAGUAAGAC